AUUGAACGCUGGCGGCAUGCUUUACACAUGCAAGUCGAACGGUAACAGGCCGCAAGGUGCUGACGAGUGGCGAACGGGUGAGUAAUGCAUCGGAACGUGCCCAGUCGUGGGGGAUAACGCAGCGAAAGCUGCGCUAAUACCGCAUACGAUCUAUGGAUGAAAGCGGGGGACCGAAAGGCCUCGCGCGAUUGGAGCGGCCGAUGUCAGAUUAGGUAGUUGGUGGGGUAAAGGCUCACCAAGCCAACGAUCUGUAGCUGGUCUGAGAGGACGACCAGCCACACUGGGACUGAGACACGGCCCAGACUCCUACGGGAGGCAGCAGUGGGGAAUUUUGGACAAUGGGCGCAAGCCUGAUCCAGCAAUGCCGCGUGCAGGAAGAAGGCCUUCGGGUUGUAAACUGCUUUUGUACGGAACGAGACGGUCCUGGUUAAUACCUGGGGCUAAUGACGGUACCGUAAGAAUAAGCACCGGCUAACUACGUGCCAGCCGCCGCAGUAAAAC
rnacentral:rRNA from 1 species